rnacentral:rRNA from 1 species
CAUUGGGGAAUAUUGCACAAUGGGCGCAAGCCUGAUGCAGCCAUGCCGCGUGUAUGAAGAAGGCCUUCGGGUUGUAAAGUACUUUCAGCAGUGAGGAAGGUGGGUAUGUUAAUAGCAUACUCAUUUGACGUUAGCUGCAGAAGAAGCACCGGCUAACUCCGUGCCAGCAGCCGCGGUAAUACGGAGGGUGCGAGCGUUAAUCGGAAUUACUGGGCGUAAAGCGCAUGCAGGUGGUUUGUUAAGUCAGAUGUGAAAGCCCGGGGCUCAACCUCGGAAUUGCAUUUGAAACUGGCAAACUAGAGUACUGUAGAGGGGGUAGAAUUUCAGGUGUAGCGGUGAAAUGCGUAGAGAUCUGAAGGAAUACCGGUGGCGAAGGCGGCCCCCUGGACAGAUACUGACACUCAGAUGCGAAAGCGUGGGGAGCAAACAGGAUUAUAUACCCUGGUAG